rfam:Schistosoma curassoni strain Dakar, Senegal genome assembly, scaffold: SCTD_contig0000193
GUCCAGCUGACGAGUUCUAAAUAGGACGAGACUCGCAUCCUGGAU